CAAAAUGUAGCUUAAUCAAAGUUCUUCGCUUACACCGAAAGGAUGUCUGUGCAACCCAGGCCAUUUUGAG
rnacentral:tRNA from 1 species